UACGGAGGGUGCAAACGUUGCUCGGAAUCAUUGGGCGUAAAGCGCACGUAGGCGGCUCGUUAAGUCGGAUGUGAAAGCCCCGGGCUCAACUCGGGAAGUGCAUUCGAAACUGGCGAGCUUGAAUAUGGAAGAGGGUCGCGGAAUUCCCGGUGUAGAGGUGAAAUUCGUAGAUAUCGGGAGGAACACCAGUGGCGAAGGCGGCGAUCUGGGUAGAUACUGACGCUGAGGUGCGAAAGCGUGGGGAGCAAACAGG
rnacentral:rRNA from 1 species